rnacentral:rRNA from 1 species
GACGAACGCUGGCGGCGUGCUUAACACAUGCAAGUCGAACGGAAAGGCCCUGCUUUUGUGGGGUGCUCGAGUGGCGAACGGGUGAGUAACACGUGAGUAACCUGCCCUUGACUUUGGGAUAACUUCAGGAAACUGGGGCUAAUACCGGAUAGGAGCUCCUGCUGCAUGGUGGGGGUUGGAAAGUUUCGGCGGUUGGGGAUGGACUCGCGGCUUAUCAGCUUGUUGGUGGGGUAGUGGCUUACCAAGGCUUUGACGGGUAGCCGGCCUGAGAGGGUGACCGGCCACAUUGGGACUGAGAUACGGGCCGGACUCCGACGGGAGGCAGCAGUGGGGAAUAGUGCACAAUGGGCGGAAGCCUGAUGCAGCAACGCCGCGUGCGGGAUGACGGCCUUCGGGUUAUAAACCGCUUUCGCCUGUGACGAAGCGUGAGUGACGGUAAUGGGUAAAGAAGCACCGGCUAACUACGUG